rnacentral:rRNA from 1 species
GCGCGGGAGCCGGCGGACUCCUUCGGGAGGAAACCGGUGGAACGAGCGGCGGACGGGUGAGUAACACGUGGGCAACCUGCCGGACUGAUGGGAAUAACCCCGGGAAACCGGGGCUAAUGCCCAAUACGCCCUGACCUCGCCUGAGGUCAGCGGUAAAGCAGGGAUCUUCGGAUCCUUGCACAGUCCGAUGGGCCCGCGGCGCAUUAGCUAGUUGGAGAGGUAAGGGCUCCCCAAGGCGACGAUGCGUAGCCGACCUGAGAGGGUGAUCGGCCACACUGGGACUGAGACACGGCCCAGACUCCUACGGGAGGCAGCAGUAGGGAAUCAUCCGCAAUGGGCGAAAGCCUGACGGUGCAACGCCGCGUGAGUGAUGAAGGUUUUCGGAUCGUAAAGCUCUGUUGACAGGGAAGAACCCACGCCAGUCGAACAGGCUGGCGUGCUGACGGUACCUGUCCAGAAAGCCCCGGCUAACUACGUGCCAGCAGCCGCGGUAAUACGUAGGGGGCAAGCGUUGUCCGGAAUUAUUGGGCGUAAAGGGCACGCAGGCGGUUUCGUCAGUCCGAUGUGACAGGCCACGGCUCAACCGUGGAAGGCCAUUGGAAACUGCGAAACUUGAGGACAGAAGAGGAGAGUGGAAUUCCACGUGUAGCGGUGAAAUGCGCAG